UCGAGCGAGCUUGCCUAGAUGAUUUUAGUGCUUGCACUAAAUGAAACUAGAUACAAGCGAGCGGCGGACGGGUGAGUAACACGUGGGUAACCUGCCCAAGAGACUGGGAUAACACCUGGAAACAGAUGCUAAUACCGGAUAACAACACUAGACGCAUGUCUAGAGUUUGAAAGAUGGUUCUGCUAUCACUCUUGGAUGGACCUGCGGUGCAUUAGCUAGUUGGUAAGGUAACGGCUUACCAAGGCAAUGAUGCAUAGCCGAGUUGAGAGACUGAUCGGCCACAUUGGGACUGAGACACGGCCCAAACUCCUACGGGAGGCAGCAGUAGGGAAUCUUCCACAAUGGACGAAAGUCUGAUGGAGCAACGCCGCGUGAGUGAAGAAGGGUUUCGGCUCGUAAAGCUCUGUUGGUAGUGAAGAAAGAUAGAGGUAGUAACUGGCCUUUAUUUGACGGUAAUUACUUAGAAAGUCACGGCUAACUACGUGCCAGCAGCCGCGGUAAUACGUAGGUGGCAAGCGUUGUCCGGAUUUAUUGGGCGUAAAGCGAGUGCAGGCGGUUCAAUAAGUCUGAUGUGAAAGCCUUCGGCUCAACCGGAGAAUUGCAUCAGAAACUGUUGAACUUGAGUGCAGAAGAGGAGAGUGGAACUCCAUGUGUAGCGGUGGAAUGCGUAGAUAUAUGGAAGAACACCAGUGGCGGAGGCGGCUUACUGGACGGUAACUGACGCUGAGGCUCGAAAGCGUGGGGAGCGAACAGGAUUAGAUACCCUGGUAGUCCAUGCCGUANACGAUGAGUGCUAAGUGUUGGGAGGUUUNCGCCUCUCAGUGCUGCAGCUAACGCA
rnacentral:rRNA from 1 species